CUCCUCUCAGGAUUGCACCUGGAGAGUUUCCAGUACUCUACCAGUCUCGGCUAUGGGACGGAGUGUAGAGCAGACAUACUCAUUCCAUUCCUAGCUUGGGCAGUGGCUUGCGAGAGAAAGACAAUCUGCUACAAGU